CGCUGGCGGUGCGCCUUAUGCAUGCAAGUCGAGCGAAGCUUUUCAGUAGUUUACUACAGAAAAUGACUGAGCGGCGAACGGGUGAGUAACGCGUGAGCAAUCUACCUUAGUUACAGGGAUAGCCCGAGGAAACUCGGAUUAAUACCUGAUAUUCUUUAUUUCUCGCAUGAGAAUAAAAGGAAAGGUCAGCCGAACUAAGAUGAGCUCGCGUUCUAUCAGCUAGUUGGUGAG
rnacentral:rRNA from 1 species